UACGUAGGCAGCAAGCGUUGUUCGGAGUUACUGGGCGUAAAGGGUGUGUAGGCGGUUGUUUAAGUUUGGUGUGAAAUCUCCCGGCUCAACUGGGAGGGUGCGCCGAAUACUGAAUGACUAGAGUGCGGGAGAGGAAAGUGGAAUUCCUGGUGUAGCGGUGAAAUGCGUAGAUAUCCGGAAGAACACCGGAGGCGAAGGCGGCUUGCUGGACCUGGUCUGACGCUGAGGCGCGAAAGCGUGGGGAGCGAACAGG
rnacentral:rRNA from 1 species